CAGCACCCCGAGUGGUCGGGACGAUUAUUGGGCCUAAAGCAUCCGUAGCCGGUUUUACAAGUCCUCCGUUAAAUCCAACUGCUUAACAGAUGGGCCGCGGAGGAUACUAUAAGACUAGGAGGCAGGAGAGGCAAGCGGUACUCAGUGGUAGGGGUAAAAUCCGUUGAUCCAUUGAAGACCACCAGUGGCGAAGGCGGCUUGCCAGAAUGCGCUCGACGGUGAGGGAUGAAAGCUGGGGGAGCAAACCGGAUUAGAUACCCGGGUAGUCCCAGCUGUAAACGAUGCAGACUCGGUGAUGGACCAGCUUCAUGCUAGUCCAGUGCCGCAGGGAAGCCGUUAAGUCUGCCGCCUGGGUAGUACGGUCGCAAGACUG
rnacentral:rRNA from 1 species